AACGAACGCUGGCGGCAUGCCUAACACAUGCAAGUCGAACGAGACCUUCGGGUCUAGUGGCGCACGGGUGCGUAACGCGUGGGAACCUGCCCUUAGGUUCGGAAUAACUCCCCGAAAGGGGUGCUAAUACCGGAUAAUGUCUUCGGACCAAAGAUUUAUCGCCUUUGGAUGGGCCCGCGUUGGAUUAGCUAGUUGGUAGGGUAAAAGCCUACCAAGGCGACGAUCCAUAGCUGGUCUGAGAGGAUGAUCAGCCACACUGGGACUGAGACACGGCCCAGACUCCUCCGGGAGCCAGCAGUGGGGAUUAUUGGACAUGGGCCGAAGGCCUGUCCCACCAUUGCCCCGUGGGUGAUGAAGGCCUUGGGUUGUAAAGCUCUUUUACCCGGGAUGAUAAUGACAGUACCGGGAGAAUAAGCUCCGGCUAACUCCGUG
rnacentral:rRNA from 1 species